rnacentral:rRNA from 1 species
GCAAUAGCUGGAAGCACCGGCGCACGGGUGAGUAACACGUGAGAAUCUACCUUGAGACGGGGGAUAGCCGAUAGAAAUAUCGGGUAAUACCGCGUAUGCCGAGAGGUGAAAGACACUUUUGUGUCGUCUUGAGAUGAUCUCGCGUCCCAUUAGCUAGUUGGCAGGGUAAAAGCCUACCAAGGCGACGAUGGGUAGCCGGCCUGAGAGGGUGUACGGCCACAUUGGGACUGAGACACGGCCCAGACUCCUACGGGAGGCAGCAGCUAAGAAUAUUCCACAAUGGGAGAUAUCCUGAUGGAGCGACGCCGCGUGAACGAAGAAGGCAGAAAUGUUGUAAAGUUCUUUUAUACGGGAAGAAUAAGACUAUCGAGAGAAACUUUAGUCGAUGACGGUACCGUAUGAAUAAGCCACGGCUAACUACGUGCCAGCAGCCGCGGUAAUACGUAGGUGGCAAGCGUUGUUCGGAAUUAUUGGGCGUAAAGGGCAUGUAGGCGGUUGGAUAAGUGUGGAUUGAAAUACCGGAGCUUAACUCCGAGUUUGGUCUGCAAACUGUCCGGCUAGAGUGCAGUAGGGGUGACUGGAAUUCCGCGUGUAGGGGUGAAAUCUG